GCAGCUGGUGGGAUGUCAGGUGGAUCCAAAUGGGGCUAAGAAAACUAAGUGUAUUGCAAAACCCAAACUGAAAUGAAUGGUCAGUUAAUGAGGGAGGAAUGUUGACCAAGAAACACAGCAUAUCAAGUCUUGGACCAAAGCGAAUCCACAACCAGGUCGCUCACUUGGUUAAGUGCGACCAACAAAACCAGGCUGACGGAACUUUAGUUCCCUGAAAGUGGCAAUAGUUCCGUAACAGUGGUGACAGGGUGAUGAAGAAAGCGUUUGGCAUGCCUUCAUCGGUCAAGGCAUCGAGUACACGAGUUGGGACGUCAUGUUACAGCUGUACAAGAUGUUGAUCUGGCCUGAAAGAUGCCUUGUGACUCUGCCAAGAGUUCCUUUGCAAGCAGAUGUCAGAUGCAGACAGUGAAGAAAGUUAUCAAACGUUACAGGGGAAUCUUGAUCAGCUGGGAUUUAGGCCAUCCCUAACUGCCUUGAAGAAGAUGGCGAUGAGCUGAUGUUUUGAACCACUGGUAAACUGGUAAAUUGGUUUAUUAUUGACACAUGUACAGUGAAAAACUUUGUUUAGCAUGCCAUCCAUACAGAUCAUUUCAUUACAAAAGUAUAAGGGAAAACAAUAUCAGAAUGUGUUGCAGUUACAGAGAAAGUGCAGUGCAGGCAGACAAUAAGGUGCAAGGCCAUAAUUGAGUAGAUUGUGAGGUCAAAGAGUCCAUCUUAUCGUACUAGGAUAGAAGCUGUCCUUGAGACUGGUGGUACAUGCUUUCAGGCUUUUGUAUCUUCUGCCUGAUGGAAGGCGGAGAAGAGAGAAUGUCCGGGGUUGGAGUGAUCUUUGAUUAUGCUGGCUGCUUUACCGAGGCAGUGAGGUGUAGACAGAGUCCAUGGAGGGGAGACUGGUUUCCGUGAUGUGCUGAGCUGUGUCCACAACUCUCUGCAGUUGUUCUGGUGAAGAUUUUAUGUUUUCUCUUUGAGCGUAAAAGCAAUGGUACAAGAACGUAAGAAAACAGGAGCAGGAGUCGGCCAGUCAGCCUCUCAAGCCUGCCCCACCAUUCAGUACGAUCAUGGCUGAUCUGCCCUAAGCCUCACCUCCUCUUGUUCCCCUUUAAAUACCCCCAUUGAUCGAAAUUCUACAACUCUUCGGGAUAGAGAGUUCCAGAGGUUCGUCACCCUCGGCGAGAAGAAAUUCCUAUGCGCCUGUUUUGAAUGACCACCCCUAAUCUUUUAACUAUGUCCCCAAGCUUGACGUUAUCCCACUUGUGGAAACAACUCGCCAGACAACAUUGUAAGGGUCAAUGCGUCGGGUGGGUCUGCAGGAAGUAAUUGACUGGGUUAGGGCGGUAGAUUUCUUCCCCAUUAGUGAACCAGAUGGGUAUUUAUGACACUCCGUCAGUUUAUGUGUCCAUUAUUGUUAACACUAGUUGUUGCUGCUUCUCUAAAUUAUUAACCAAACUUAUAUUCCACAAAUCCCAUGCUGGGAAUGAACUUGGAUCUCUGGAUUGUUUAUCCAGGAUUGCUACUCCAGUGACGGCACUACCAACGCACUCAGCUCUACGCCCAUAACCCUGCAGAUUACAGCUUUUCAAGUGCUCCUCCACGAAUUGAGGGGUUUUGCCUCUUCUAGCUCUUUGUGCAGUGAGUUUCACACACCCAACUUUCUCUAUCUUCCUCAACCCUCCUCUAACUCUUCGACCUCUAACCUUAAGCUACACCAUCCAGUUACUAUGAUAAUAGUCAUAAAGUAAUACAGCAUGAAAACAGGCCCUUUGGCCCAACUCGUCCAUGCUGACCAAGAUGCUUAUUAUCCUCUCUUCUAAAGUAAGUAGUUCUUUUCUAUUCACUCUCUCUUUUUCUUUUUCAAUAUUUUUAUUAAUUCCAAAUAAAAAGUACAAAGUACAUGAAACAAAGGAAAAAAAAACAAAAUGUUACAAAAUAGAUUGUACUGAAUCGCACUAAAAAUCACAAUGCUUCAUAUUAAUAAACAAAAAUGAUAACUAAUUAGUAUUGAUAAGUUGGAAUAAUAUUAUUAUUAAAAAAAUCUAGCCCCAUUACCAAAACCGAAGCUGUUUAGUAACAUCCUAAAGACACAGUAGUAUUGGCCAAUAUCUGUACUUUGCACCGUAUCAGUGGUUUUGAAAGUAGUUCAAAAAAGGUCCCCCACUCUCUCACACAAUUUUGAUUAAAUUUUCCCUUAGUCAGCUCUGAGCCUAAAUUUUACAAAGGCAAGUGAACUGAGAUCAGGUAAUACAACUGAAAUGGAAAUAGCCAGUCUAAGUCACAAUGUGGUUGCACGAUCUGAAACUCAGCUUGGUUUCGAUUACAGCACUGAGAUUGUGAACAGUUUUAUUCAGGUUACCAGGGAGGGGGAGGGAAAUGGUGGGGAUGGGGGCCAUAGAAAAUGGGUUCAAUCUUCCAGUGUUCUGUUGGAAGAAAUUUCUAGUUGCCCACUAAAGAAUGUCAGAUAGGCAGUAUGGCAAGUGAAAGGUAGUGAUGGGGGGAAAGGAGGACGGAGGUGGGUGGGGGAAGGGGC